UACGGAGGGUGCAAGCGUUAAUCGGAAUUACUGGGCGUAAAGCGCACGUAGGCGGCUUGGUAAGUUAGAGGUGAAAGCCUGGAGCUCAACUCCAGAAUUGCCUUUAAGACUGCCGAGCUAGCAGGUGAGAGAGGUGAGUGGAAUUCCGAGUGUAGAGGUGAAAUUCGCAGAUAUCAGGAAGAACACCAAUGGCGAAAGCAGCUCUCUGGGACGGUACUGACGCUGAGACGCGAAAGCGUGGGGAGCGAACAGG
rnacentral:rRNA from 1 species